AGAGUUUGAUCAGUGGCUCGAGGACGAACGCUGGCGGCGUGCUUAACACAUGCAAGUCGAACGGUGACCCAGGGCUUGCCCUGGUGAUCAGUGGCGAACGGGUGAGUAACACGUGGGCAACCUGCCCCUGACUUCGGGAUAACUCCUCGAAAGAGGAGCUAAUACCGGAUACGACCACUUCGGACAUCCGAUGGUGGUGGAAAGUUUUUCGGUCAGGGAUGGGCCCGCGGCCUAUCAGCUAGUUGGUGGGGUAAUGGCCUACCAAGGCGACGACGGGUAGCCGGCCUGAGAGGGCGACCGGCCACACUGGGACUGAGACACGGCCCAGACUCCUACGGGAGGCAGCAGUGGGGAAUAUUGCGCAAUGGGCGAAAGCCUGACGCAGCGACGCCGCGUGAGGGAUGAAGGCCUUCGGGUUGUAAACCUCUUUCAGCAGGGACGAAGCGAAAGUGACGGUACCUGCAGAAGAAGCACCGGCUAACUACGUG
rnacentral:rRNA from 1 species